GUAAUAGCUCACUGGUCGAGUCGGCCUGCGCGGAAGAUGUAACGGGGCUAAACCAUGCACCGAAGCUGCGGCAGCGACGCUUAUGCGUUGUUGGGUAGGGGAGCGUUCUGUAAGCCUGUGAAGGUGGCCUGUGAGGGUUGCUGGAGGUAUCAGAAGUGCGAAUGCUGACAUAAGUAACGAUAAAGCGGGUGAAAAGCCCGCUCGCCGGAAGACCAAGGGUUCCUGUCCAACGUUAAUCGGGGCAGGGUGAGUCGACCCCUAAGGCGAGGCCGAAAGGCGUAGUCGAUGGGAAACGGGUUAAUAUUCCCGUACUUGGUGUUACUGCGAAGGGGGGACGGAGAAGGCUAUGUUGGCCGGGCGACGGUUGUCCCGGUUUAAGCGUGUAGGUGUGUGUUCCAGGUAAAUCCGGUUCACUUUAACACUGAGGCGUGAUGACGAGGCACUACGGUGCUGAAGCAACAAAUGCCCUGCUUCCAGGAAAAGCCUCUAAGCAUCAGGUAACAUCAAAUC
rnacentral:rRNA from 2 species